rfam:Brassica oleracea var. oleracea cultivar TO1000 chromosome C8, whole genome shotgun sequence
CCGACCUUAGCUCAGUUGGUAGAGCGGAAGACUGUAGUGUUAGCAUAUAAUCUUUAGGUCGCUGAUUCGAUUCUGUCCGGUCGAA